AUUUACGGCCAUACCACCCUGAGCACGCCUGAUCUCGUCUGAUCUCAGAAGCUAAGCUUGGCCGGGCCUGGUUAGUACUUGGAUGGGAGACUGCCUGUGAAUACCAGGUGCUGUAAGCU
rnacentral:rRNA from 1 species